rnacentral:rRNA from 1 species
AGAGUUUGAUCAUGGCUCAGAACGAACGCUGGCGGCGUGGAUAAGACAUGCAAGUCGAGCGAGAUUUUUUCUUGUAGCAAUACAGGGAAAAGUCUAGCGGCGAACGGGUGCUUAACACGUGGGCAACCUGCCGUGAAGUGGGGGGAUAGCUCGCCGAAAGGCGAAUUAAUACCGCAUGUGAUUAGAGAGGACAUCCUUUCGAAAUUAAAGUCGGGGCAACCUGACGCUUCUUGUGGGGCCCGCGGCCUAUCAGCUAGUUGGUGAGGUAACGGCUCACCAAGGCUUUGACGGGUAGCUGGUCUGAGAGGACGACCAGCCACACUGGGACUGAGACACGGCCCAGACACCUACGGGUGGCAGCAGUCGAGAAUUUUUGACAAUGGGGGAAACCCUGAUCGAGCGACGCCGCGUGGAGGAUGAAGGUCUUCGGAUUGUAAACUCCUGUCAUUGGGGAACAAGGUGCAUACGUUAACUGCGUGUGUAUUGAUAGUACCCGAAGAGGAAGGGACGGCUAACUCUGUGCCAGCAGCCGCGGUAAUACAGAGGUCCCAAGCGUUGUUCGGAUUCAUUGGGCGUAAAGGGUGCGUAGGCGGCGCGGUAAGUCGGGUGUGAAAUCUCGGAGCUUAACUCCGAAACUGCAUUCGAUACUGCCGUGCUUGAGGACUGGAGAGGAGACUGGAAUUUACGGUGUAGCGGUGAAAUGCGUAGAUAUCGUAAGGAAGACCAGUGGCGAAGGCGGGUCUCUGGGCAGUUCCUGACGCUGAGGCACGAAGGCCAGGGGAGCAAACGGGAUUAGAUACCCUAGUAGUCC